AACGAACGCUGGCGGCAUGCCUAACACAUGCAAGUCGAACGAGACCUUCGGGUCUAGUGGCGCACGGGUGCGUAACGCGUGGGAACCUGCCCUUAGGUUCGGAAUAACUCCCCGAAAGGGGUGCUAAUACCGGAUAAUGUCUUCGGACCAAAGAUUUAUCGCCUUUGGAUGGGCCCGCGUUGGAUUAGCUAGUUGGUAGGGUAAAAGCCUACCAAGGCGACGAUCCAUAGCUGGUCUGAGAGGAUGAUCAGCCACACUGGGACUGGGACACGGCCCAGACUCCUACGGGAGGCAGCAGUGGGGAAUCUUGGACAAUGGGCGAAAGCCUGAUCCAGCAAUGCCGCGUGAGUGAUGAAGGCCUUAGGGUUGUAAAGCUCUUUUACCCGGGAUGAUAAUGACAGUACCGGGAGAAUAAGCUCCGGCUAACUCCGUG
rnacentral:rRNA from 1 species